rnacentral:rRNA from 1 species
UACGUAGGGGGCUAGCGUUGUCCGGAUUUAUUGGGCGUAAAGAGCGUGUAGGCGGCCAGGUAGGUCUGCUGUGAAAACUCGAGGCUCAACCUCGAGACGUCGGCGGAAACCAUCUGGCUAGAGUCCGGAAAGAGGAGAGUGGAAUUCCUGGUGUAGCGGUGAAAUGCGCAGAUAUCAGGAAGAACACCAAUGGCGAAAGCAGCUUUCUGGGACGGUACUGACGCUGAGACGCGAAAGCGUGGGGAGCGAACAGG